ACUAUGCCCAGUAGUACUGGAUGAAUGAUACUAAGCAAUAGAAGAAUAAGAUUAUGCCAGGCUGGGGAAGACGCUCAAGGAGAUAGAGGCUCAGAUUAUCUUUAGUGGGAUUCUGCCCGUUCCGAGGGAAGGGCAGCAAAGGGCUGAUAGGAUUGUGAGAAUAAAUAGUUGGCUAAGGGAGUGGUGCUAUAAGGAGGGCUUUGGGAUGUAUAGCCACUGGGAGGCUUUCGGGGACAGACACCUGUUCUCACGGGAUGGGCUUCACCUGAGUAGGGAAGGAAAUAGACUUCUGGGAGGGAGGCUGGCUCAUCUAAUCAAAAGAGCUUUAAAACUAGGAAGUUUGGGGAGACGGUUGGGAGAUGCACGGUUAAUCUCCACGCCAGAUUCCAGUAUGGAAAAGGUGAGUAAAAUGAGAGGAGACAUAGCCGGGGAGAUGAGAUUGGACAUAGGAAGGACAGGGGGGAUGGACACAAGGAGGCCCGCAACAUAUAGUGCUACUAAUGGGAGACAGGCUAAACGAGAUACAUUAGGGUGUUUAUACACCAAUGCCAGAAGCCAAGGUAAUAAAAUGGAGGAAUUGGAGCUCUUGGUCCAAGAACUGAAACCAGAUAUCGUAGGAAUAACGGAAACGUGGUGGAAUGGCAGUCACGACUGGAACACAGGUAUGGAGGGGUAUGCGCUGUUUAGGAAAGACCGGAACAAAGGUAAAGGCGGAGGGGUGGCAUUGUAUGUCAAUAGUGAAAUAAGCUGUAAAGAAAUAAUAGUUGAUGGAUUAGAUAACACAGAGUCCAUCUGGGCAAUACUCACACUGGGUAAUAGGACUACUAGAGCCUCUCCGGGGAUAGUGCUUGGAGUGUGCUAUAGACCGCCGGGAUCGACCCAGGAUAUGGAUAAGGAACUAUUUAAUGUGUUUAGAGAAGUAAUUACUAAUAGAAACUGUGUAAUUAUGGGGGACUUUAACUUCCCGGAUAUAGAUUGGGGAACAAAGGCUAGUAGCAAUAAUAGAGCUCACAUUUUCCUCGAUAUGCUUGCUGAUCAAUUCCUCCAUCAAGUGGUAGCUGAACCGACGAGGGGGGAGGCCAUUUUAGAUUUAGUUACAAGAUGGGGACGCAUUGGUUAGAAGUAACGGANN
rnacentral:lncRNA from 1 species